rnacentral:tRNA from 1 species
GCCGAUGUGGCGAAAUGGCAGACGCAGGGGACUUAAAAUCCCCUGACCGGAAACGGUCGUGCGGGUUCGAGUCCCGCCAUCGGCACCA